AGUGAACGCUGGCGGCAGGCCUAACACAUGCAAGUCGAACGGCAGCACAGGAGAGCUUGCUCUCUGGGUGGCGAGUGGCGGACGGGUGAGGAAUAUAUCGGAAUCUACCCUUUCGUGGGGGAUAACGUAGGGAAACUUACGCUAAUACCGCAUACGAACUGAGGUUGAAAGCGGCGGACCGCAAGGCGCCGCGCGGAUGGGUGAGCCGAUAUCCGAUUAGCUAGUUGGCGGGGUAAAGGCCCACCAAGGCGACGAUCGGUAGCUGGUCUGAGAGGAUGAUCAGCCACACUGGAACUGAGACACGGUCCAGACUCCUACGGGAGGCAGCAGUGGGGAAUAUUGGACAAUGGGCGCAAGCCUGAUCCAGCCAUGCCGCGUGUGUGAAGAAGGCCUUCGGGUUGUAAAGCACUUUUGUUGGGAAAGAAAAGCGGUCGGUUAAUACCCGGUCGGUCUGACGGUACCCAAAGAAUAAGCACCGGCUAACUUCGUGCCAGCCGCCGCCGUAA
rnacentral:rRNA from 1 species